UACGUAGGCAGCAAGCGUUGUUCGGAAUUACUGGGCGUAAAGAGUGUGUAGGCGGUGCUCUAAGUUCGGUGUGAAAUCUCCUGGCUCAACUGGGAGGGUGGUCGCGAGACGGCUGGGCUUGAGGCUCGGUGAGGGGCGUGGAAUUCCGGGUGGAGCGGUGAAAUUCGUAGAUAUUCGCAAGAACACCAGUGGCGAAGGCGGCUCACUGGCCCGAUACUGACGCUGAGGCACGGAAAGC
rnacentral:rRNA from 1 species